AUUGAACGCUGGCGGCAGGCUUAACACAUGCAAGUCGAGCGGGGGAAGGUAGCUUGCUACCGGACCUAGCGGCGGACGGGUGAGUAAUGCUUAGGAAUCUGCCUAUUAGUGGGGGACAACAUCUCGAAAGGGAUGCUAAUACCGCAUACGUCCUACGGGAGAAAGCAGGGGAUCUUCGGACCUUGCGCUAAUAGAUGAGCCUAAGUCGGAUUAGCUAGUUGGUGGGGUAAAGGCCUACCAAGGCGACGAUCUGUAGCGGGUCUGAGAGGAUGAUCCGCCACACGGGGACUGGGACACGGCCCAGACUCCUACGGGAGGCAGCAGUGGGGAAUAUUGGACAAUGGGGGGAACCCUGAUCCAGCCAUGCCGCGUGUGUGAAGAAGGCCUUAUGGUUGUAAAGCACUUUAAGCGAGGAGGAGGCUACUUUAGUUAAUACCUAGAGAUAGUGGACGUUACUCGCAGAAUAAGCACCGGCUAACUCUGUGCCAGCCGCCGCCGUAA
rnacentral:rRNA from 1 species